rnacentral:rRNA from 1 species
UCCACGGGAGGCAGCAGUGAGGAAUAUUGGUCAAUGGACGAAAGUCUGAACCAGCCAUCCCGCGUGCAGGAUGACGGCCCUAUGGGUUGUAAACUGCUUUUCUAUACCAAGAAUGGUUCUUACGUGUAAGGAUUUGACGGUAGUAUAGGAAUAAGGACCGGCUAACUCCGUGCCAGCAGCCGCGGUAAUACGGAGGGUCCAAGCGUUAUCCGGAUUUAUUGGGUUUAAAGGGUGCGCAGGCGGAACUUUAAGUCAGUGGUGAAAUCUUGCCGCUUAACGGUAAAAUUGCCAUUGAUACUGAAGUUCUUGAAUAUGGUUGAGGUAGGCGGAAUGUGUUGUGUAGCGGUGAAAUGCAUAGAUAUGACACAGAACGCCGAUUGCGAAGGCAGCUUACUAAGCCAUUAUUGACACUGAGGCACGAAAGCGUGGGGAGCGAACAGGAUUAGAUACCCUGGUAGUCCACGCCGUAAACGAUGAUCACUCGCUGUUUGCGAUACACAGUAAGCGGCUGAGCGAAAGCAUUAAGUGAUCCACCUGGGGAGUACGAUCGCAAGGUUGAAACUCAAAUGAAUUGACGG